rnacentral:rRNA from 1 species
CCUACGGGAGGCAGCAGUGGGGAAUUUUACGCAAUGGGGGAAACCCUGACGUAGCGACACCGCGUGAGCGAAGAAGCCCUCUGGGGUGUAAAGCUCUGUCAGCAGGGACGAAAAAAAUGACGGUACCUGCAGAGGAAGCAUCGGCUAACUACGUGCCAGCAGCCGCGGUAAGACGUAGGAUGCAAGCGUUGUCCGGAUUCAUUGGGCGUAAAGAGUUCGUAGGCGGUUUGUUAAGUCUGAUGUUAAAGAUCAGGGCCCAACCCUGAGAGUGCAUUGGAUACUGGCAGACUGGAGUGCAGUAGAGGCAAGUGGAAUUCCCAGUGUAGCGGUGAAAUGCGUAGAUAUUGGGAAGAACACCGGUGGCGCAGGCGACUUGCUGGGCUGUAACUGACGCUGAGGAACGAAAGCUAGGGGAGCAAAUGGGGUUAGAUACCCCAGUAGUCCUAGCUGUAAACGAUGGAUACUAGGCGUUGCAGGUAUCGACCCCUGCAGUGCCGCAGUUAACGCGAUAAGUAUCCCGCCUGAGUAGUACGGCCGCAAGGUUGAAACUCAAAGGAAUUGACGG